GAUGAACGCUGGCGGCGUGCUUAACACAUGCAAGUCGAACGGAAAGGCCCUGCUUUUGUGCGGUGCUCGAGUGGCGAACGCGUGAGUAACACGUGAGUAACCUGCUCUUGACUUUGGGAUAACUUCAGGAAACUGGGGCUACUACAGGACAGGAUCUCCUGCUCCAUGGUGGGGGUUGGAAAUUCUCGGCUGUCGGGGAUGGACUCGCGGCUUAUGAGCUUGCUGGUGGGGUAGUGGCUUACCAAGGCUUUGACGGGUAGCCGGCAUGAGAGGGUGACCGGGCACAAUGGGACUGAGAGACGGCCCAGACUCCUACAGGAGGCAGCAGUGGGGAGUAUUGCACAGUGGGAGGGAGCCUGAUGCAGCAACGCCGCGUGCGGGAUGACGGCCUUCGGGGUGUAAACCGCUUUCGCCUGUGACGAAGCGUGAGUGACGGUAAUGAGUAAAGAAGCACCGGCUAACUACGUG
rnacentral:rRNA from 1 species